rnacentral:rRNA from 1 species
ACGGAAGGCAGCAGUGAGGAAUAUUGGUCAAUGGACGCAGGUCUGAACCAGCCAAGUCGCGUGAGGGAUGGCGGUCCUAUGGAUUGUAAACCUCUUUUGUCGGGGAGUAACGUGCGGGACGUGUCCCGUAUUGAGAGUACCCGAAGCAAAAGCAUCGGCUAACUCCGUGCCAGCAGCCGCGGUAAUACGGAGGAUGCGAGCGUUAUCCGGAUUUAUUGGGUUUAAAGGGAGCGCAGGCGGCGCGUCAAGUCAGCGGUAAACUGUCGGGGCUCAACCCCGGCCGGCCGUUGAAACUGCCGUGCUCGAGUUCGUGCGAGGAGAGCGGAAUGCGUGGUGUAGCGGUGAAAUGCAUAGAUAUCACGCAGAACGCCGAUUGCGAAGGCAGCCCUCCAGCACUGGACUGACGCUGAGGCUCGAAAGCGUGGGUAUCGAACAGGAUUAGAUACCCUGGUA